rnacentral:misc_RNA from 1 species
GAUAAUUCUUAAUUUGCUAUAGGUCAGACCAAAUUAUUGGUAAAUGAAAAAUUAAAGCAGUUCAAAGACCUCCUGAAGAAGUUCCAAAAAGGCGACACUGAUGAGAGUAUAACGCCUAAUGAUCUCGAAGGAUUUUGGGAACUUGUUCUAAUACAGGUCAAUGACGUGAAGGGUAAAUUUUCGAAACUGGAACAUUGGAAGAAAGGGAAAUGAAUAGAUAAGUGGAAAUAAUAUGAGAUGUGAAAAAGAAAUAACUAAUCUUCUUUCCUUCUCACAUCAUCUAUGAAAUAUGUAACAUGAAACACUAAAAUACGACUUAGAAAAAUUUAUAAAUUGCAAACAAGUGAUAAGUCUGUACUAGUACUUUGAAUCUGUCAAAUUAAAUAAAUAACAGAGGAUAAUAAAA